AGAAGGAAGGUGGAUGACAAUGAGAUCCAGUUUCGAAGGGAACCCUGCAACGAGCUAGUUCAUCAUCUUUAGACGGGUUGCUCUGACCACAUAUCUUUUUUGCUCCUUCUUUUUUCUUUCUUUUUAUCAUCUUCCCCCUUCCCUCGACACAAAAAGAAAGAAGAAGCGACGUGGCAAAUGAAAUUAGACGUGGAUCGAAUUAGACCCUUUGGCACCCUCUCGUGUUUCGUAUACACGGAGUUCGCACUCUUCCCGAUAACGAUGAAGGCGGCGGAAUCGUAAAGCGAUAAAUGGUUAGAUCGUGUCUGGAGGAGGAAAUGCGACUCGUUAAGUCGGUUAAUCGGCGAUAACGUCAAAGGAGGGAAGAAGAAAUGUAGAGGAUGGGAAAUAGUCUCUGUACGUAAGGUAAUCUUUGAAACACGAAUACUCGAUUGGAGUCGUUGGUAGGGCGAAAGGGAGAACAAAAGAAAGAAAAAAAAAGAAGAUGAAGAAGAAAAGAAAAAAGAAAAAAAAGAAGAGAGAAGGAAGGGUGGUAAAAUUAAAAGGGACACGAAGUCGUCAUCCAGACUCGAUUGUCCCAGCGCGGGUUCUACAGCAAAAGACAAAGAAAAAGACAGACAUAAAGAGAAAGAGAGAAAGAGAGAAAGAAGGAAAGAAAGAAAGAAAGAAAGAAAGAGAGAGAGAGGGAGAAAGUAAAAAUAAAAAAAGAGGUUGGUAAUCGUUCUUUCUUUUCCUCCUCGUUCGUCUCGUCGAAGUCCCGCACUUAUUCGAAUAAAUCGUCGUCGUCGACGUCGUCAUAGCUCGGGAUCGGCCGUUCUCUGCGUCUCCGUUGCACGAUACUCGAAUAGAAACGCUGCCGCGGCACUCGUCACCCUCACGCGCCACUCUUCCGAGCCCUUCAGCACCCUCUGGCAGCUUUCGAGGCCCUUCACCUCCACCUUCAUCUCGGCAGGCAGUCUCCACUAGUCAUUUCAGGGGCGACCACUCGCCUAUCGAGCACGACUCGCGUCUGAAAAUGCUUCGAGACUCGCCACUACUAACUCCCACUCCAUCUUCGUUCCUAACGCAGACGCAAGUUUUUCAAGUUUGCCAAAGCGCACGCUGACUGUGCUACCUCCGUUCGAAUCGUUCGUCGUUUCCUCAUACAUAGAUCACCACUUUUUUCCUUUCAUUUGCACUUUUAUAUCUAAAGACGAAUGUGGUUAUGGGGAAAUGGUUCGAGGGGAAAAAUGUGCUAGAGAAAAAAAGAGAGUACGAACAAGAAUGAUGAUUUAAGACAAGGGUAGAUUUUCCUCUUCUCUCUCACGUACACGAAUAUGUAAGAACGUAUAUAUGUAUAUACAUUCAUACCUUCGGAAGAGUAACAACUACUAUAUAGACCAAAUGGAACGUAAAGGACAAGAAAGGAACGACAUUGCGACAAAUUGAGACGUAGCACCGAUCUAAACGGAGAUCGUUACGAAACGUAUCGUUCUAAGAAGCGACGAUGGUAAUACGAUGGACUGCUUUCCUACCACACCAGGGUGACCUCUAACGACUGGAACUUAUCAGAAUUUAUUACGGAAUAAAUAGAGGGAAUGUUUUCUUGGAAAUUGGAAGAUAUUCUUCAUGUGAUUAUAAAAAAUAAGUAAACAAUACGUAUCCAUAUCAUAUUAUUUUGUAAACAUAUAUUAGUAUACACACACACGCGCGCGUGCACACA